rnacentral:snRNA from 1 species
AAGCUUUGGCAUCAUAUAUACUAAAACUAGAACAAUACAGAGAAGAUUAGCAUGGCCCCUCUGCAAGAAUAACACACAAAUUCAUGAAGCAUUCCAUAUUUUU